UGACCUCAGGUAUAGGCUGCAUCAGGGGUGGGGGUGGGGUGGAGGAUGCCAGUUCUUCCACAUCCCACCUCUGUCGACCUCCUCGCCAUGGAUUUGGACAUGGACGUGCUUUUCGAAGAUGCAACUGCAGAACUGCACAGGAUGCCGGUCUUGGAGGCACGUCCUAUAGCCAUGGCUAGGCCGGUGGAGUCGCCGGCUUCUCUUAGCAUCGCCAAUGCGGAGAUAGGCCACGUCGGAGUUCGCGCACACAUCGGUUAAAGAGCCGGAUUUCCGCCGGAACAAGGAGCUUUUCCAGAUUUGUUCAGAGGCUAGCAGCGGCUGGACUAGGAGCGUAAGGAUUGGUAAAGCACCGAUGUAGCGCGAGGCAAACCCAAAUAGGAAGAGUGCUAUGGAGAUUUUGAUGAGUGCUCUGAGAAGAAGACGAGCUGGUUCGAUGAGGUUGGAGUACUAGUGCAGGUCGUGGGUGAGAGGAGAACAGAGGACAGUUGACAAGACAUGACCAUGCCACUUUAAAAAAUUGUAGUAGGGCCAGAUUCGAAAAUGCACUGUGGACAAGCCAUGACCACGGUGCUGUACCGGUACCGCGUGCCAAAUGCUACCAUAAUCAAGGUCCAAUUACUCAAAGAUUGCCUACUUGGAGUUGCUAAUUACA